GUCUUAUGGGGUGUGAAAUGGAAACAUAUUGCAGAGAUGGGCUGGGACUAACUUGUCAUCGGCAUGAUAGGAAGUAAAUAAUUUGUGAGGUUACUUUAACUUUAAAAAAUCUCUUGGUUGAUGGUAAGGUGCUUGAGUGUGUUUUGUUGACAUCUCGAGUGAUGAUGCAGGUAGGGGUUUAUAUCAGGACAUUUUGUAAAUGGAGGCUCCUUUUGCACUCAGGGCUUCAGUCCGUUUCUGUGUUGUACAGGCCUGGUGUGUGGCUGAUUUGGUUUCUGUGACUGUGUCGAUGGCCGGGAUGGUAGUCGGCCAGUUACUGUGAAUUCUGUUUUUUUUUAAAAAGGGUCUUCCCUGGUUCACCAUCUGUUGUCAUUUCUGUUUUAUGUCGUGGUCAGUGGUUGUCGGGAACCUAGACCAUUACAUAAUCUGCCUUGUGUCGUUAUCUUGGGUCCCGAACCAAGAGAACGACACAGGCCAGAAAGGAAAACAGGUGGCUGAAGAGCCUACUUAAUAUCAAUAGUAAAAUUUGCUUCAUUUAGAAGCACUAGACUUCUCGGCGUCGACACAGUUACAGAAACCGAAUCAGCUAUUCAAUGGGCUUGUAUAAAGCAGAAACAGACUGAAGCCAUUGCUCUCAAAAUUGUAACCAAAACAAACGGCAGCAUUACUUGGAAUUUCAGCAAAGCGCACUCUUGUGCUUUCCAUCAUUCAAGAGAUCAUGAUUAUUCCCGCUAUUUCUAUGUUAAACCAAGAACUGAAAUUACAAUCACAGAUCAAGUUAACUUCCUGUCAUGCCUCAUUCACAUACUUAAGCUUACCGUAAGUAUUAGGUAUAGUCUUUACCAUAUUUCUUGGUGAAGUUUCAUUUUUGUCUCGUCUUUUAUGCUGAGGAUCGUCGUACCGUAAGAAGAAAUGUCUGGACGCGGAAAGGGUGGCUAGGGCUGGCGAAGGAAGGUGCCGAACGUGAACGAUUCGCAGUCUUCCCACACAUAUGACAAGAAAUGACUGAACGUGGAAAGCAAGGAACGGAGUUGGAUAAUGGACGUGUAAAGCGCCACCGUUACUGAAAGUGCUUCGUGACAACAUCCGGUGCAUCACCAAGGCACGAGUCUUUCCGAGACACAGACAAGCAAGGCCUGCCGGGAAAAUGGGCAAAGGAGGUGCCAGGCAUCCGAGGAGACAGUGGUCCUGGCGGAAGGCGUCUUGGUGCCACUUCCCAUAGUUGGAUUCGUUGAAAGUGACGUCUUCAUCAGCUUCUUGAGAAGACAUUUCAUAACUGGAUG